rnacentral:rRNA from 1 species
GACGAACGCUGGCGGCGUGCUUAACACAUGCAAGUCGAACGGAAAGGCCCUGCUUUUGUGGGGUGCUCGAGUGGCGAACGGGUGAGUAAUACGUGAGUAACCUGCCCUUGACUUUGGGAUAACUUCAGGAAACUGGGGCUAAUACCGGAUAGGAGCUCCUGCUGCAUGAUGGGGGUUGGAAAGUUUCGGCGGUUGGGGAUGGACUCGCGGCUUAUCAGCUUGUUGGUGGGGUAGUGGCUUACCAAGGCUUUGACGGGUAGCCGGCCUGAGAGGGUGACCGGCCACAUUGGGACUGAGAUACGGCCCAGACUCCUACGGGAGGCAGCAGUGGGGAAUAUUGCACAAUGGGCGGAAGCCUGAUGCAGCAACGCCGCGUGCGGGAUGACGGCCUUCGGGUUGUAAACCGCUUUCGCCUGUGACGAAGCGUGAGUGACGGUAAUGGGUAAAGAAGCACCGGCUAACUACGUG